UGACCUCGGAUCAGGUAGGGAUACCCGCUGAACUUAAGCAUAUCAAUAAGCGGAGGAAAAGAAACCAACAGGGAUUGCCUCAGUAACGGCGAGUGACACA
rnacentral:rRNA from 1 species